UCGGAUCCCGACUCAGCUCAGCUCAGUUGCCUCCAGCGCUGGGCGCUGCUGCAGCGCGGGCGCCUAAAGUCUCUAGUCUUCGUCUCUCUUCUUCUUCAUCGAUGUGACAUCAUUCUGCUGCGCUCACUCCCUGCCCCGCCCCCGCCACCAGUUGCGCAUGCGUGUCUGGAGGAGGAAGGACACGCCGCGCAUGCGUGUCUGGCCUGGGAGGAGAUCGCUCGCCGCCUGCACGUGGACUUCGUCUCUUGCAUGUGCAUCGGCGCGGCGAGGCAGGGGGAGUCGGACUAGAGUGAGCGUUUGUGUUGCUGCUGCCUGGGGCUGUGUCUGUGUGUGCGCGGAGGAAGGAUUCGGCCGCCUGCCUGCCUCAUCAUCACAACGCAAGCAAUAAUAAAGCCAGCGCAGUGGACAAGGACAAGGUAAGGCUUCAAUAACAAUGGAUCAUGUCAUGGAGGGGUAUUUUGAACAUGAGCCUGGAAUGAAGAUGAACCAGGAACUCCAGGCCUCUUAUUGGUUUUCUGUCCACCUCUGUUCCCCUACAGACUUCUUCCGAGGGCACAGUUGACGGCGGGACGCACCAGAGUCCUCGUACUGGGCCACUCUUUCAUUUUCUGGGUGCUCAAGUGGGCGUAGGGCGCAGAGCCUAGAACACAACUGGGCCUAGGCCAUUGGGCCUCAGUGGAUUGGCACGGAUGACGGUGCAUGAGGAGAGCCCAGCUAUUGCCAAUGCUGCGUGAAUUCCUGGAGGAAAAUCCGACACCUGAUAUCCUACUGCUACAUUUCGGGGGGAACGACUUAGUUAGUCAAUCUGGUAUUUCAAUUUCUCAGCAGAUAAUACAGGACCUGGGGGUUAUAUUAGAUUGGUGCCCCGGUCUGAUUUUAAUUUGGUCUGAUAUCACCCAAUGCAGAGUUUGGAAGGGAGCCAGUAAACAGAACAAGGUGGAUAGGGUCAGACGGGGGGUUAAUGCGGUGAUUGCACACUUCUUGGCCACUAAGGGUGGCGGCUGCAUACCUCACGAUGACAUCAGGUUCUCACUACCUCUCCUGUAUCAGGGUGACGGGGUUCAUCUGUUGCCCACAGGCAUGAGGCUAUUUGUGGAUGACUUGCGUCUGGGAUUGGCUCUGGUUCUGGAAGGUUUGUGGGGCGUGCGGGGGGUUAAGCGAGGCUAAUGCCCGCUGUGGCAGGUGCAGUGCAGCAGUGAACAGCGUGAAAAGCGGUGCGGCACCUUAGGAAAGCAUUUGGCUUUAAGGAGGAGGGGCAGAUCCCUUGAGUCUUGGCAGAUCAGGGAUGCUGCUUAACUCCCACCUCUGCAAAACGGCAUCCUUCCGUAUGGCUAGAAAGGUUGGAGGGGUGGUGUUAAUAACAGAGACCUGACCUUAGGUCAGUGAAGAAGGGCACCCUUCACUUGUGAGCAGAGGGCCGUCUGGAACCAAGGUGCUAGCGCCAUGGGUUUUAGGCCAAGGAGGCCCUGGGUGUGGCCAACCCGCUAGGGACCGCACUGUUACUGAGUGCAGCGCCAAUCCCAACUCUAGUGCCUUGCGGGCACUGGUUCAUCUAUAACUCCCAAUAAAGUGGCCAAUUUCACCAAAGCUGAGUGCGUCUGUGUCUCCUUGGGUCUGGGUGCAAUUUCCCCUGCUUAUUUCAAAUGAAUAACUGUGUCAACCCCUUUAGACUCCCCCUUCCCUCCUCCUUUUCUGUUUGAUUUUUUCUCAUAUCCCCAUCUUUUUGUUGUAAUUACUUUGUUAUAACAUGAAAAACAUUUGAAUAAUUAUUCAUUUAAUAAUUGAGAAGAAGAAGACAACCCUCUUGCCUGAAGGGUAGGGAUAGGGUAGGGAUUUCAAUGAUCCCAGUUAUAACAUAACUGAGAAGAAGAUAAUUGAGAAGAAGACAACCCUCUUGCUUGAAGGGUAGGGAUAGGGUGGGGAUUUCAAUGAUCCCAGUUAUAACAGAGCAAGCGUGUGUGAGAAGACCCAAGUCCAUUAAGAGUAUCUUGAGGCAGACAUUUCACUUUUCAUAUUUCAGAGUCAGAUCUUUCACUUGCAGCACUAUAUCACUUAGUUAACAUAAAGUAACUUUAUGUUAACAUGUCUCCAUUGUAUUAAUCUAUAUUUUAAUAUUGUUUUAAUUGUGUUUUAUUUCAUGGUUUUAAAUUGUUGUACACCACCUUGGGAUAUAUGUGUUACGUGGUUUAUAAAUGUGAUGAAUAAAUAAAUAAGAAGAAAAUGGAAUGCAGGUUUCUUUCAGUUGAUUGCUAAGGUAGCAGAUGACAGAAAUUUGCAUUGCUGCUUCCUGAUAAGGUGAAGGAGGUCAUCUCUGUAGAGCUGUGAGUAGUCACAAUUGCCCCAGAACCAUAAUUAAGAUAUCAGUUGGAGGACAUUUUCUUAAAACAUCAAGGGCAGUAAUGCCAAUGACUCCCAUAAUAAGAAAUGAAUCAGAAUCAGCAUAAGCAAAUUAGUCAAAUGUUGUACAGGUUGUACAAGCUAAUUAUAUUGUGCAUAAAACAGAUGACAUGAAAUGUAUGCUACUUUGGAGCUCUUAAUAAAAAUAUUAUUUACCAUGCCAAAAGAUGGAACAUUUGAAGUGACAGAAAUAGGGAAGUAACCAAGCAAUGGUAUCAAGAAUAUUUAAUAUUGGAAAUAUAGAAACAUAACACAUACAGAAUUAUCCUGUGCUUAUUAGAGGUGUUAAAUUCAUAUUUAUGGAUACAGCACAGUUCUGAACUUCAUCACAGAUGUCACUGCAAGAACCUUUAUUUAAUGAGGCUGCUGAGCCAAAUUCUAAACUUGACCUGAGUUCAGCUGAAGUGCUUAGUAUUAUCUACAUAUUUUAUGGGCGUUGAGGAAUGGCUGUAGAAGUAUGGAGUCAGAAACUUCCUUUGUUUUGAUGGUGAUGGUGAUACUAAUACCAUUCUCAUAAAUCAUUAUUGUAUAUCAUAAUAGCAAAUUCAGGUGGUUGAAUGCCUAUCAGACUGAAAGCAAAAUGGAGCUGUCCACAGACAAGGUAGGGGUUUCCUAUUUGGGAGACUCUGACUCCCUACGUAUAGAGAGGUAAAUCGGCAUGUAAUUUUUUAUUAUUUUUUUAAAGGGAAAGAACCCCUCCCCAGUGCCUGAUGUGGGUUAAGCAUGCUCAGUGAACUGAUACUUCAAUAUAGAUAUAUAUACUCCGUGUGUGUGUGUGUUUGUGUAUACGCACAUGCACGCACGCACACACACACACACACACACACACAAAUUUCUCUAAGGCGUACCUGUCGCUAACCCCAUGCAUGGCAGCUCUUGUGAUAUUUUGCGAGGGGAGGGGGAGAAGAAGGUCAGCGGCCAGUGAGAGAAAGUGGCAGUCAGGCCAGCCGGGGAGAACGAACUGGGGCUGAAAUGGGAGGGGGGAUGAACUGGGGCUGCAGGGGGGGGAGAAAGGCUUGCCCCCUCCCCACUCAAUCACCUCCUCCCCGCUGCUUGCUCACUCACUCGCCCCCUCCCAGCCGCUUUAUCACUCACUCGCUCAGCCUGCACCUCUUCCUAUCUGCAUUUGGAACCACCACUGCUCAAUCACCACAGUGCUUCUGCUCUGUGGUAAAAGCACUGUGGUAAAAGCACUGUGUGCUUUGGUAAAAGCACUGCUUUGGUAAAAGCACUGUGUGGGCAGGGCUUGCCACAUAUGUCCUUGUAUUAUAUAGAUAGAUAUUAGGCAGCUUUGAAGAUUCUAAAUCUAAUAUAGUCUGAUCUACUAUACUGAGGCUAGAUUUGCCACGUGCAAACAUUUAGAAAGUCUUACUCUGGGAAAGCUAACUAACAGCAUUUAUCUGCCAUGAUCAUUUGCUCCUUUCCCCAAGACUCUUUGCAGAAAGUAUAGUGCUCCUCAGGCUCUUUGUGUCAAGUGUCAUACCUGGCAAGUUUCCCUUCUUCAAAAAACAGACUUGUUUUCUUGCCUAAUUUAGGUGUCCUAAGAUUCCAGGAGCUUUCUCGCACAGGGGCUUUAUCCCGAAUCUCCUCCAGAAUUGAGGGUGUGUGUUCUCACUACAGCCGGAAUCCCGCCAAGCAAUGUUUCCCGGAAAAUCCGCUGAAAGCGCUGACAGCAUUCUUUACAUUUACAUAGGAACAUAGGAAGCCCUUCCCUAUACUGAGUCACACCAUUGGUCCAUCUAGCUCAGUAUUGUCUACACAGACCAGCAGUGGCUUCUCCAAAGUUGCAGGCAGGAAUCUCUCUCAGCCCUAACUUGGAGGUUCACGUAGAUGAGACAGUAAAUCUCUUCUGGAAAAGUUUGUAUGGUUAUGUGCAAAAAGACAAGAGUAUCUCUUCUAAACAGCAAUGGGACAAAUUGUGGAAAUGGACGUUGGACGUAACCCCCCCGAUUACCUGAUGUGCCCUGUAAUCCCCCCUCCCCGAGUUACAAUACUGUGUGCAUAUACUUUAUAACCCUGUGGGUUACCAAAUCCUUGUUUGUAAAUCUUUGUAGAUAUAUGAUGUACAAACAACCACUUGUAUAUAAUUGUGCUUUGGUAACGUACUGUAUGCUUUGGUAGUUUGUUGGUUCAAUGAAAAAAAUCUUGUCCUAUAAAAAAAUCUUGACCUAUCUUGGAGAUGCCAGGGAUGGAACUUGGAACCUAAAUGCUUUUCCCAGAGCAGCUCCGUCCCCUGAGGGGAA